rnacentral:siRNA from 1 species
UAGAGGUCGCCGGUUCGAGUGAUG